rnacentral:rRNA from 1 species
CACACCGCCCGUCAAGCCACGAAAGGAGAGAGCGCUCUAAGUCGCUAAGGUAACCCGCAAGGGAGCCCAGCGCCUAAAGCGAGAUCUCUAAUUGGGGCUAAGUCGUAACAAGGUACCC